UUUCCUUGCAAGUAUGGCCCAAUUUCUUUUUGUAGUCCGUCUCCGAUAAGCUCACCUCUGCAGGUUCUGAGGCGAAUUCGAUUGAUGACUCCAGCUGCCAGUUUCAAGAAGAAAUCAAGCACAUCAGCAAAGCUUCAGUUGCCACUUGCAUUGCAGAUUGUUUGGAAUUGGAUUCGGAAUCUAUUCGCUGCAAUUUCAAUAAAACUUCAGGAAAACUGAUAUUGAACUAUGAUAAUGUAAACGGCUGUGUAACAAAUGAUAUUAUAUUUCACAAAAUAAGGCACUUCAAUAGUUCCAGAAAGAUGGAUGCCCAAAAUGUUAUCUUCCGUUGAAAAACGCAAGUGUUAAACAGUUUUAUGAUGUGUUUAUAUCUAUUUUAUGCAACAGUAUGUAGCUUACAAGGCACUUCUUGAUAUACGUAAAUAAACAAACAUUCCAUAAAAUAAUGCUUAAAUAUUUUCAAGCUCUAUUUAAGUUGAAACGCGAAGGGUCUCAGUUUGCGGGAAAAGGCUUUUCUAUGCAACCAAAACUCCUGGUUCCAUUUACGACGCUGGGUCUAUGGCUUGUGGCAUGAUGUGGCCCAACACAAAGCAUUGGCUGCCCAAGGAUUACGACGAAGUCCGAUGCAUCAUAGAGAGCUUACCUGAAAAUAUUCAAAAUUUGAGGAAACUACGUUUGACAGUGUACAAGAGCGAGUGCAGCAAGGAGUUUUUCUUCUGCUCCACUGACACUCCCCGGUCGCUGCAAAAAUCUUUCCUUGGUGCAGAGCUGAAUGGAAACCAAACCACUGAUGUGUUUCAAAACGGCACGUGCGCACAUUUCGAGUUUAAACUUAAGGAUAAGAAAGCCGUGGACGUCCGACUAAAAAUUUCAAAAUGUAAAGAUUCAGCUUAUUUGAUAUGCGAGCAUGAUAAAUAAAAUAAUGGCGAUGGCAGCGUCAGAGCAUGGUGUACUAUUAUUGAGUUAAAUGUAUACCGUAUUUAAAAAAUAUCG